AGCCCUGUGGUGUAGUGGUAACAUUCUGGCCUUUGGAGCCAGCAUCAGCAGUUCGAAUCUGCUCAGGGCUG
rnacentral:tRNA from 1 species